UCUUGAUGUGUUGAAGUACGAGAAGCAUUCUAUUUUGUUGAAAUGAAAAUCCUGAUUGCAGAGUCUUGAUCUUACUUUCACUUACAAAAUUUGGUAGUCUUAUGCUAAAGAUAUUUUGUUUUCUCAUUGACAGUGUGUAAUUAUGCGAAGGGUAGAGGUUGUAGAUAACAGACAACCAUUGUAUUCUGGCUCAAAAUGCAAGCACUGGCUAUCAGAGAUGUGGGCUUAUAGAUGGCAACCAGCAAAUUGUGAUAUGCCAGACUUUGAAAGAUCUUCAUUUUUGAAAAGUUCAGAAUGAUGAUCAUGAAAACUGGAGGAAUUUGCUUAUUUCGAGUGAAGACCAUAGAGAAUGAUGAUUUUGUUCCUUGAGCUGGUUCGUGAUGGAUGCAUUGGCUAAGGCCAAGAUACUUAUAGAUGCUAUUUAUAAUGAUGGUGGGGGUGGGCUGCAUUUCUAAAGUCCUUGGUGACUCAAAAUAUUUAGUAUUGUUCCAGAUUUUUGUUGUGGAGUUUAAAUUAGUGUACAUGUAAUUAUAUGAGAUUUGUAUUAGAUUUUGUUCUAAGUAUACUAGAAUUUAGUUCUCGAAUUAUUUUUUCACUUGUAUCUACAUUUAUUAUCAAUAAUAAUUGAAUUUAUUAA